UGUGACUCUUCUCAGCCUCCACCGCUUCCCAUCCCAUUUUCUGCCCAGGUUAGAGAGAUAGAGAGGAGCAAGAGAAAGACAAAGAUUAGACCGGGAGAGAGACCUGAGCGACGAUGAUGGAGGAACGGGUGGUGGUCUCUGUCCGGCCACCGACCGGUGGUCAUGGUCCGGUGGUUUUGACGCGUGAGAAUAUCUCUCCACCCCAAAUUCAUCUUUGAAACCCUAACACCAACCCACCAUUCAUCUCCGGCACCACCAAAUUCCACCAUAUCCGGCCACUUAUCCACACGAGAGAGGGGCAUGCGGUAUCUGAACCACCGCUCAACCUCCGCUCCGCCGCUUGACCUCUGGCCGGCGUCACACUCAUCAUCGCCUGAAUAUCCGUCUGAAGCGAAGCUUAUCCAUGGCGUCCUCCAGUCUAUAUCGGUUCAUGGGUUCAAGAAGGUAACGGCAUCAAGUUGAUUGGGUGAAUCAAAAAUUUAAGGUAUCACAUAUUUGCUGUCUUUACAGUUGAUGUUCUCAUUUUUACAUUCUUCUUCAGCAAUUGAAUAUUUCUGUAUCCUUCAUGAAUUAAAUCUUGCAUGUCAUUUGAUUGUUUUGGUGAUGCUUACAAGGUGUUCGAUGAAAUGCACGUGCUUAAUUUUUAUGUUAAUUUGUUAAUUUCUUUGUACUAAAUCAAGGUGUUGAUCAAAUUUGGGGUAUCUUCAAUGUAAAAUUAUUAAUGAAGAUUAUUGCGGGAAUUUGGCAGGAAAAGUGCAUAUCAAUAUUUAGAUAUAAUCACUAAAGCAUACACUGUAGGAUUAUUAGAAAACUAAUGUUUUCUUUAUUUAUGUGUUUCAUUUUACUGUAAGUACUUGGUGUUCCACACAUAUAUUAUAUUGAAACUAUGUUUUGGGAUGACAAGUAUGAAGUAUGGAACCCAAGGGUUAGUUCAAGAGGUAAGGAAUCUAAUGGUUCACAAGUAUAUAUUCGAACUAUGUUUUGGGAUCACAAGUUUGGAAGACAAGGAUUAUUUCAAGUAUGGAAUCCAUGGGUUGUUUCAAUUGCUUAAUCCAUGGGUGGUUUUUUUUUUUUUUUUUUUUUUUUUGUGCUUAGAUUAUCAACACAUUACAUUUCUCAUGUUUGUAGAGUUAGAAAGUCUUGAGUGUGUUUGGGAACUUUGGUUGUUUAUUCGAACUUUAAUAUCUUUGUUAUAUUUUUUACUAAUGACAUAAACUUUGCAGGGCUACAAGAUGUUAUAAUAAUAGUCAAUGGCAGGGUCAACAAAUGAAUAGUCAAAGAAGCUGGUCAUGGGCACAACUCUUUGUGGUUUAUGACCCCUUUUUAGUUCCUAAUUCAUUUCUAAUCUUUUAAUAAAAACCGUCUGUCCAAUUGUACUUCCAAAACUUUAUCAAUUUUUAAUCCUGUUUAACUACAAAUCAACCUUCAUAGGCUAUUGUUGUUUGGUUCAUGUUUUAUUAGUUACGCAUUUUGACAUUAUGGUUAUUUCAUUAAUUAACAAUUAUCAGGUUGCGUCAUGUUUUUUUGCAUUGGGGCAUUAAAAUUGUAUUUUCUUUAUUUCAUUUUAGAUGAUUCAAAUCUGGGACUACCAUUAGGUUGCAGGUGUGGAUGAAAGGGAAGGAAGAAACUAAUCAUGGCGGAGUGGUGGCAUACACGCGUGGAGCUGAAAGGUGAGGCACGCAGGCAGGCACCUACCAAUCGAGUUUCAGGCAUGU